UGGGGAAUUUUGGGACAAUGGGCGAAAGCCUGAUCCAGCAAUGCCGCGUGUGUGAAGAAGGCCUUCGGGUUGUAAAGCACUUUUGUCCGGAAAGAAAUCCUUGGCUCUAAUACAGUCGGGGGAUGACGGUACCGGAAGAAUAAGCACCGGCUAACUACGUGCCAGCAGCCGCGGUAAUACGUAGGGUGCAAGCGUUAAUCGGAAUUACUGGGCGUAAAGCGUGCGCAGGCGGUUUGCUAAGACCGAUGUGAAAUCCCCGGGCUCAACCUGGGAACUGCAUUGGUGACUGGCAGGCUAGAGUAUGGCAGAGGGGGGUAGAAUUCCACGUGUAGCAGUGAAAUGCGUAGAGAUGUGGAGGAAUACCGAUGGCGAAGGCAGCCCCCUGGGCAAUACUGACGCUCAUGCACGAAA
rnacentral:rRNA from 1 species